CCUACGGGUGGCAGCAGUGAGGAAUAUUGGUCAAUGGACGAGAGUCUGAACCAGCCAAGUAGCGUGAAGGAUGACUGCCCUAUGGGUUGUAAACUUCUUUUAUAAAGGAAUAAAACGAGGCACGUGUGCCUUUUUGCAUGUACUUUAUGAAUAAGGAUCGGCUAACUCCGUGCCAGCAGCCGCGGUAAUACGGAGGAUCCGAGCGUUAUCCGGAUUUAUUGGGUUUAAAGGGAGCGUAGAUGGGUUGUUAAGUCAGGUGUGAAAGUUUGCGGCUCAACCGUAAAAUUGCAAUUGAUACUGGCAGUCGUGAGUACAGUUGAGGUAAGCGGAAUUCGUGGUGUAGCGGUGAAAUGCUUAGAUAUCACGAAGAACCCCGAUUGCGAAGGCAGCUUACUAAACUGUGACUGACAUUGAUGCUCGAAAGUGUGGGUAUCAAACAGGAUUAGAUACCCUGGUAGUC
rnacentral:rRNA from 1 species